UUUCAUCAAUUUGUUUAACCAGCCAACCCAACUAGCUCCAACUAUACAUCAUUCUCGGUUGAUGCGACGACAUUUCAUGCUACAACUACUGUCACAUCUGGUCUCAUUAAUGACAUGGAGGUACAAGAUGUGGUCUUGAAUAACACCCAAGAAACAAAG